rnacentral:rRNA from 1 species
CCUACGGGAGGCAGCAGUGGGGAAUUUUGGACAAUGGGCGCAAGCCUGAUCCAGCAAUGCCGCGUGAGUGAAGAAGGCCUUCGGGUUGUAAAGCUCUUUUGUCAGGGAAGAAACGGUGGGGGCUAAUAUCCCUUGCUAAUGACGGUACCUGAAGAAUAAGCACCGGCUAACUACGUGCCAGCAGCCGCGGUAAUACGUAGGGUGCAAGCGUUAAUCGGAAUUACUGGGCGUAAAGCGUGCGCAGGCGGUUUUUGUAAGUUUGUCGUGAAAUCCCCGGGCUCAACCUGGGAAUGGCGAUGAAGACUGCAAGGCUAGAAUCUGGCAGAGGGGGGUAGAAUUCCACGUGUAGCAGUGAAAUGCGUAGAGAUGUGGAGGAACACCGAUGGCGAAGGCAGCCCCCUGGGUCAAGAUUGACGCUCAUGCACGAAAGCGUGGGGAGCAAACAGGAUUAGAUACCCUGGUAGUCCACGCCCUAAACGAUGUCUACUAGUUGUCGGUUUAAUACUUGUACGNAGCUAACGCGUGAAGUAGACCGCCGUGGGGAGGUACGGUCGCGAGAUAAACGUACAAGUAAGUAGUAGACGCGUGAGAGCGACGACGACGACGACGGAGGAGGAGG